GCGCCUUGAAUUUCUAGUAUUAUAAAUUAGUACAAACUUAUUUUCUAGGAAGAUCUUGAGAAUUCAAGAUUUCAACCUUUGCUUAAUCUUUUUCUAAGUCAAAACGCGGAAAUCACUUCUGUAGAGAAAACACAAUUUAAGGAUGUUUGGGGUCAAG